rnacentral:piRNA from 1 species
UAUCAAACAGUAUUUGGCUCAGAGUGGGU